UACGGAGGAUUCAAGCGUUAUCCGGAUUUAUUGGGUGUAAAGGGUGCGUAGACGGGAAGGCAAGUUGGUUGUGAAAUCCCUCGGCUUAACUGAGGAACUGCAACCAAAACUAUCUUUCUUGAGUGCUGGAGAGGAAAGUGGAAUUCCUAGUGUAGCGGUGAAAUGCGUAGAUAUUAGGAGGAACACCAGUGGCGGAGGCGGCUUACUGGACGGUAACUGACGCUGAGGCUCGAAAGCGUGGGUAUCAAACAGG
rnacentral:rRNA from 1 species